UUUUGCACACGCGGGAGCUCGGAGCACCGGGCUGAGAGGACGCUGACCUCCGUCUUCGCGAUGUUUCACGUGAAACGUCUCUCGAAUCGAGUGAUGUUUCCCAUGAGCGUCGGGAGACGGUAGCCGCUGCGUCGACCGCCGAACCUGUUACCGGGUAAUGCCGGCGUAGGGAGUAGGUCUCAUGACCAA
rnacentral:ncRNA from 1 species